rnacentral:rRNA from 1 species
GGAAGGGCACCACCAGGAGUGGAGCCUGCGGCUUAAUUUGACUCAACACGGGGAAACUCACCAGGUCCAGACAUGACUAGGAUUGACAGAUUGAUAGCUCUUUCAUGAUUUUAUGGGUGGUGGUGCAUGGCCGUUCUUAGUUGGUGGAGUGAUUUGUCUGGUUAAUUCCGAUAACGAACGAGACCUUAUCCUGCUAAAUAGCCAGGCUGGCUUUUGCUGGUUGCCGGCUUCUUAGAGGGACUGCGGUAGCGUCUAGCCCGCGGAAGUUUGAGGCAAUAACAGGUCUGUGAUGCCCUUAGAUGUUCUGGGCCGCACGCGCGCUACACUGACAGAGCCAGCGAGUUUUUUUCCUUGACCGGAAGGUCUGGGUAAUCUUGUGAAACUCUGUCGUGCUGGGGAUAGAGCAUUGCAAUUAUUGCUCUUCAACGAGGAAUUCCUAGUAAGCGUGAGUCAUCAGCUCACGUUGAUUACGUCCCUGCCCUUUGUACACACCGCCCGUCGCUACUACCGAUUGAAUGGCUUAGUGAGGUCUUCGGAUUGGCUUCGGGGAGCCGGCAACGGCACUUUGUUGCUGAGAAGUUGAUCAAACUUGGUCAUUUAGAGGAAGUAAAAGUCGUAACAAGGUUUCCGUAGGUGAACCUGCGGAAGGAUCAUUAAAGAGAUAAACAGACGUUGAAAAGGGGUUGUUGCUGGCCACCUUGGCAUGUGCACACCUUUGAUCACGUUUAUCCACCUCUUAUACACCUGUGCACAACCUGUAGCUUAGGUGGUGAUUUUUAUAGCAUUUGAAAGAUAGUGUUGAAACACCCCUUUAAGCUACGAAUUUUCAUACACACAUACUUGUAAUAAUGUUGAAAUGGGGGGAAUAUAAAUAAAUACAACUUUCAGCAACGGAUCUCUUGGCUCUCGCAUCGAUGAAGAACGCAGCGAAAUGCGAUAAGUAAUGUGAAUUGCAGAAUUCAGUGAAUCAUCGAAUCUUUGAACACACCUUGCGCUCCUUGGUAUUCCGAGGAGUAUGCCUGUUUGAGUGUCAUGAAACUCUCAACUGCUUCAGCUUGUUGCUGAAGUGAAGUUGGAUUUGGAGGAUAAUUGCUGGCGCAUGUAUUAGCUUGUCAGCUCCUCUUGAAUGGAUGAACUUUCCGGUAGAUCAUGGUGAAGUAACAGUGAUGUGAUAACUAAUCUACAUCAGAUGUAAAAGCCAUUGAAUAGAGAGUUCUCUUUAUUAGAGAAUCUCCUACAGAGAAAGAAAUCUCACGUCUCUCUAUAAGAAAGAUGAAACUUCAUAAUGAAUUUGACCUCAAAUCAGGUAGGACUACCCGCUGAACUUAAGCAUAUCAAUAAGCGGAGGAAAAGAAACUAACAAGGAUUCCCCUAGUAACUGCGAGUGAAGCGGGAAAAGCUCAAAUUUAAAAUCUGGCGUACCUUUGGUCGUCCGAGUUGUAGUCUGGAGAAGUGUUUUCUGUGCUGGACCGUAUACAAGUCCCUUGGAACAGGGCGUCAUAGAGGGUGAGAAUCCCGUCUUUGAUACGGACUACCAGUGCUUUGUGAUGCGCUCUCAAAGAGUCGAGUUGUUUGGGAAUGCAGCUCAAAAUGGGUGGUAAAUUCCAUCUAAAGCUAAAUACAGGCGAGAGACCGAUAGCGAACAAGUACCGUGAGGGAAAGAUGAAAAGCACUUUGGAAAGAGAGUUAAACAGUACGUGAAAUUGCUGAAAGGGAAACGCUUGAAGUCAGUUGCAUCUGCCAGAACUCAGCCUUGCUUCUGCUUGGUGCACUUUCUGGUUUGAUGGGCCAGUAUCAAUUUUGACUGUUGGAGAAAGGUUUAGGGAAUGUGGCACCUCCGGGUGUGUUAUAGCCCUUUACUGUAUACAACAGUUAGGAUUGAGGACUGCAGCAUGCCUUAAUGGCUGGGGUUUUGCCCACAUACAUGCUUAGGAUACUG